AUGCAUUCUAGUUCUGGAAGAAAGUAUGAUUCUGGUGCCUUCAAGCGUAAGAAGAAACAGAAAUUAGAAGAAGAUGCUCAAAUUCAAAGGGGUGCUCUUGAUAAUAUGUUGGUACCCCAAACUAAUUCCGAAAAUCAUACUCCAGAUGGUAAUAUUGAUGAUGGUCAUGAUGAUAAUGCAGUAGAGGUUGGGGUUGUCACUGCAGAAAUUCAUGAAGUUGAUCAUGGUCAUGGUGAUAAUGCACAAGAGGAUGAGGUUGCCGCUACAGAAAUUGAUGAAGAUGAAGAUCAUGAUCCUAAUAUUUCAGAUGACAUGAAUAAUUCCGUUCAGCCUGAUAUAUUUGAUCCUAGAAAUUGGGAUGGACUUGAUCCUAAAAAGAUUGAUAUCUUGCUGCAAAAGGGUCAUAAAAGAGAAGAUAUUGAGUAUGGUCCUUAUGACAAGUUUUCUAGAAGGUUUUCUGCAUUAUCAUUUAGUAGAAUUCUCUCAAAUGGAGAAAAGUUUGACAGAGAGCGGCUUGUGUACAACAGCGGUCUCGAUAAAGCAUUUUGUUUUUGUUGCAAAUUAUUAAAAAGGGGGCAUGUGAGAGGACAGCUAGCAAAUGAGGGUUUAAGUGACUGGAUUCAUCUUGGGGCUAGACUAAAAGAGCAUGAAUCAAGUAGAGAGCAUAUCGCAAAUAUGACUGCAUGGUAUGACUUCCGUCUCAGGAUGCAGAAGAAUCAAACAAUUGAUAAAGUUGCUCAGCGAGAACUUGAAAAGGAAAAGGAGCAUUGGAGAAAAGUUUUUCUCAGGAUUUUGUUGAUUGUAAAAUUUCUUGCAGAACAUAAUAUAGCAUUUCGUGGCAGCAAUAGCAAGUUGUACCAAGAUAGCAAUGGGAAUUUCAUAGAAGAUUAA
rnacentral:rRNA from 1 species